rnacentral:rRNA from 1 species
AUUGAACGCUGGCGGCAGGCCUAACACAUGCAAGUCGAGCGGAUGAAGGGAGCUUGCUCCUGGAUUCAGCGGCGGACGGGUGAGUAAUGCCUAGGAAUCUGCCUGGUAGCGGGGGAUAACGUCCUGAAACGGGCGCUAAUACCGCAUACGUCCUGAGGGAGAAAGUGGGGGAUCUUCGGACCUCACGCUAUCAGAUGAGCCUAGGUCGGAUUAGCUAGUUGGUGGGGUAAAGGCCUACCAAGGCGACGAUCCGUAACUGGUCUGAGAGGAUGAUCAGUCACACUGGAACUGAGACACGGUCCAGACUCCUACGGGAGGCAGCAGUGGGGAAUAUUGGACAAUGGGCGCAAGCCUGAUCCAGCCAUGCCGCGUGUGUGAAGAAGGCCUUCGGAUUGUAAAGCACUUUUAGUUGGGAGGAAGAGCAGUAAGUUAAUACCUUGCUGUUUUGACGUUACCAACAGAAUAAGCACCGGCUAACUUCGUG